rnacentral:rRNA from 1 species
GAUCAUGGCUCAGGACGAACGCUGGCGGCGUGCUUAACACAUGCAAGUCGAACGAGAAUCUGUGGAUCGAGGAUUCGUCCAAGUGAAGCAGAGGACAGUGGCGGACGGGUGAGUAACGCGUGGGGAACCUGCCUUUCAGAGGGGGACGAACAGUUGGAAACGACUGCUAAUACCGCAUGAUACAUUUGGGUGGCAUCAUCUGAAUGUCAAAGAUUUAUCGCUGAAAGAUGG